rnacentral:rRNA from 1 species
AACGAACGCUGGCGGCAGGCCUAACACAUGCAAGUCGAACGCUCUCUUCGGAGGGAGUGGCAGACGGGUGAGUAACGCGUGGGAACCUACCUAGUGGUACGGAAUAACUCGGGGAAACCCGUGCUAAUACCGUAUGUGCCCGAAAGGGGAAAGAUUUAUCGCCAUUAGAUGGGCCCGCGUCGGAUUAGCUUGUUGGUGAGGUAAUGGCUCACCAAGGCGACGAUCCGUAGCUGGUCUGAGAGGAUGAUCAGCCACACUGGGACUGAGACACGGCCCAGACUCCUACGGGAGGCAGCAGUGGGGAAUAUUGGACAAUGGGCGAAAGCCUGACGGAGCAACGCCGCGUGAGGGAUGAAGGCCUCUGGGCUGUAAACCUCUUUUAUCAAGGAAGAAGAUCUGACGGUACUUGAUGAAUAAGCCACGGCUAAUUCCGUG